rnacentral:rRNA from 1 species
UACGGAGGGUGCAAGCGUUGUCCGGAUUCAUUGGGUUUAAAGGGUGCGUAGGCGGCCCUGUAAGUCAGCGGUGAAAUACCCACGCUCAACGUGGGAACUGCCGUUGAUACUGCGGGGCUUGAGUUCGUGCGAGGUCGCUGGAAUGCGUGGUGUAGCGGUGAAAUGCAUAGAUAUCACGCAGAACACCGAUUGCGAAGGCAGGUGACUGGCACGCGACUGACGCUGAGGCACGAAAGUGUGGGGAGCAAACAGG